GACACUUUGGCCGAGUGGUUAAGGCGAUGCCCUGCUAUUUCCAGGAAUAACUUCAGGCAUUGUGUUCGCACGCGCAGGUUCGAAUCCUGCAGGUGUCG